UGCUGGGAUAGAUCUGUCGGUAGAGCAUGAGUCUCUUAAUCUCAGGGUCUUGGGUUCGAGACCCAUGUCAGGCAA